CCCCAAUGUUGCCGAGUUCAGGUCACAACAUUGUGAUCUCCUUUUUCUUCGAGAAGAAUCCAUCCAAUGCUCUGAUCUAGAAAAGGCAACAAAAGUAGUUUCAUUCGUCCAUGGAUACUUGGUCCGGCCGCUCGAGAAAGGGCUAGACUAUAUAUGCUGCAAUAUGCACUUGCCGCCCUGUACGAAUUCAAGCAAUCAGCACUCUGAUUAUUCCGUCUGUACACAAUUGCCUUUGCUUUCUCAACCAUGGGUACAAUUUCUCUCAUCUUUUCUGGAGAUCCCACACUAUUCCUACGGAGCAGGAAGUGCACUUUUGAAAGGUGUUAGCAUGCUUCAUAAUUGCCUAUGCACCUGGUACCUAUAUGAUGUUAGUAUCAGUUGCUCCUGUGACUGCCAUGGGGGUCUCUCUCAUCAGUUUACUCAGAGUGUUCAAUCCAAUUUGGGAAUUUAAAAUCAAGGGUAUUGUUCUGUUAGCGGCAUUCUGCAAGAGAAAGGGGAUAUGGUAUGGGGUAGUCAUCAUGGCAAACCCAGUUGCAGCCUUAUUGUCUGUGACAUUCGUGUCCCUUAUUCUACUUCUACUACUGGACUUGUCGUUGGUCUCGAUGAGUCAUCUGGUGGCAAAGUGGAACCACGUACCAGCACAACCACCGACACCAUUCAUAGAAACAACUAGAGUGACAUUGUGGGUGCAUGGAGGUGGUUUCAUCCUCAUCGACGGUGGAGACAAGAUCAAGGACUGGACCAACGCGGUCUUCGCACACGAACCAAUGUGGGCCAGUUGCAUCGGUAAAGUAGCAUCACCGGCUUAGGAAGAGGCUGAAGGUGGUAGCUUGCUGAACUCUUAUUUUGGAAAAAAUCUGUAGAUGUUCACAUAAACCUGAAGUAUGCUCUAUUUUUCUCAUAUAAAUGAUAAACAACCAUGGCACCGGCACCGGCAACCAUGUGCUUCUUCUCCAUGGAAAUGGACAUGGGGCUCCAAACCACAGAAUGAGAAUGCAAGACACAAGCAAGGGAACACCAUCGCUUCACUCCUCCGGGUCGCCGCUGCUCCAACCCUACUGGACGCUAUGAAUGGUUGACUGCAGUGCACAGUGGCGGCGCUCACGUCUGCAUCAUCCGCAUCCGUUGUGUGUGCUUCCGUCCAUGUUGUUGAGGGACGCCUGCCCCUGCUGCAAGGACUGCCACUGUUGUUAUGGAAGACGCUACAGAUAAAUCAGCUCGACGUCGACUUUGCUACAUUAUCUCGAUUUGUGUUACAUGCCACUUUGAACUUCUACCUAGGCAAUGCGUGGCAAGCCGCGCUUUACAUUGGUUCAACCAGCCCUCUCAUCAAGUAUUAUGUUUGUGGGAUGAAUAAGACACUGGUCACUCCUGGACUAAGGAUGCACUUCUCCUGCCACUUAACAAAAAAUAAUCAGAAGAACCAUCUCAAUGAACCAGUCUAGGACAUGAUGGUCAGUCUCAGCGCUGGAGAUGUUACGAGACAGGUUUGGCGCAUAAGAGGAACACACACAAAAAAGCAAUUUGUCAGACUUUGUCAAGGCGGGAGGGAUCAGAGAGUAUCAAAUGUGUUUCUUCGCCUUCAAAAUUGAAAGGGGGAAACCAUCGCUCAAUCUCCAUAAUAAGCUUUAAAAAGCUAAGGUAGGAAAUCACAAGUCUAUACAGAAAUCAUUCUAUGCCAUGUAUUUCCCGGACUAUUUGCAUCGGGUUCAUGUGAAGUACCGCAUAUGAGGUUGAUCGACAAGGCAAUUGAAUGGAGCUACUUUUCAGUAUGACUAAUAACUAUAGCUUCGUAGAUUUAACAUCUAUAUUGUCAUUGUGUCUGCCUUUUUCUUCUUUAUUAUGUUCCAACUCUUUGUAAUUGCUCUCAUGUUCACGCUCGUAGUACUGAGCUUAAUGUAAAGUGAUGAUCUUUUGUGGUCCCUUGAACUCAAUAAACUUGAUGUUGCCUUAUAAUCUCAUGACGAUGUUGAAACUCGAUGAUGACUUGCUUCUGUUAGAAGUGAAUGUUUUCUUUUUCUUCUAUUUUGUUGUCCUAUUUGAAUA